AUUGAACGCUGGCGGCAGGCCUAACACAUGCAAGUCGAGCGAGCGGCGGACGGGGGAGUAAUGUAGGUGGACUGCCCGAUCGAGGGGGAUAAAUACUGGAAACGGUGGCUAAUACCGCACAUUAUCGGAGAACCCAUAUGGGAUUAGCUGGUGGGUGAGGUAAUGGCGCACCUAGGCGACGAUCUCUAGCUGGGCUGAGAGGAUGAUGUGCCACACUGGGACUGAGACACGGCCCAGACUCCUACGGAGGCAGCAGUGGGGAAUAUUGCACAAUGGGCGCUAGCCUGAUGCAGCCAUGCCGCGUGUAUGAAGAAGGCCAUAGGGUUGUAAAGUACUUUCAGUCGGGAGGCGUUACCGACAGAAGAAGCACCGGCUAACUCCGUGCCAGCAGCCGCGGUAAUAC
rnacentral:rRNA from 1 species